CACGUAGGCACCAAGCGUUGUCCGGAUUUAUUGGGCGUAAAGAGCUCGUAGGCGGUUCGGUAAGUCGGGUGUGAAAACUCUGGGCUCAACCCAGAGCCGCCACCCGAUACUGCUGUGACUUGAGUUCGGUAGGGGAGCGGGGAAUUCCUGGUGUAGCGGUGAAAAUGCGUAGAUAUCGAGAGGAACACCUGCGGCGAAGGCGGGUAGCUGGGCCGACACUGACGCUGAUGCGCGAAAGCCAGGGGAGCGAACGGGG
rnacentral:rRNA from 1 species